CAAACACACCCUUAGUACUGCUGCUGCUGGUAAACUCAAAUUUUCAUCAGCAACAUGUGCCUCAGAAUUUUUUUGGCAUUUCUAUAAACAUAAGCACCCUCUUUUUCCUCAUGUUCCUAUCUACAAGAAACCCUUUCCUCAUAUUCCUAUCUACAAACCUCCUUUUCCUCAUAUUCCUAUCUUCAAAAAACCUUUCCCUCCACAUGAGCCUAUCUAUGAAAAACCUCUUCCUCCGCCUACACCGGUCUAUGAAAAACCAGUUCCUCCGCCUACACCUGUCUAUGAAAAACCUCUUCCUCCGCCUACACCGGUCUAUGAGAAACCUCUUCCCCCGCCUACACCUGUCUAUGAGCCUCCACCAACUCCUGUAUAUCAUAAACCUCUUCCCCCACCUACGCCUGUCUAUGAGAAACCUCUUCCUCCACCUACACCUGUAUAUCAUAAACCACAUCCACCACCGGCUCCGGUCAAAGGUUGUCCACCAAAGGUUGAACACCCAAUUCUACCACCUGCUCCAGUAUACAAACCUCCUCCAGUUCCAAAGCCACAACCACCACCGGUUCCGGUCAAGAAACCAUGUCCACCAAAGGUUGAACAUCCAAUUCUGCCACCUGUUCCAAUCUAUAAACCGCCAGUGGUAGUUCCAAAGCCACCUGUGGUUCCAAUUUACAAGCCACCAGUUCCGGUUUACAAACCACCAGUUCCAGUUUACAAGCCACCAGUUCCGAUUUACAAGCCACCAGUUGUUAUUAAGCCUCUUCCACCAUUCCCAAAGUAUCCUCCAUACAAGAAACCACCAUGUCCACCUCUCCCUACUCUCCCACCAAAGCAUGAUUUUUUCCAUCACCCCAAGUAUGGAAAAUUACCUCCAUUGCCUCCAAAGAGCUUUUUCCACCACCCCAAAUACGGAAAAUGGCCNNNNNNNNNNNNNNNNNNNNNNNNNNNNNCAAAAUAUGGAAAAUUGCCUCCAAAAAGCAUCUUCCAUCACCCAAAGUUUGGAAAAUUACCCCCAAUAAAAAGCUUCUUCCAUCACCCCAAGUUUGGUAAAUGGCCUCCAUUAAGUCCUCAUCAUUAGGAGCCAUGUUUGAGUUUGCAAACUAUUCAUGUUUUUUAGCUUCUUUGUUUCUUUAAUUAUCAUCAUCAAUCAAUUUGCAAAUAAAUUAAGCCUUCAAGGGAUAGAGCAUGUGAACACUAAACAGAAGAGCAUCAAGGGAUCAUAGAGAAAACAGAAAUAGCAUCAUGUUGUUUGAAGAAGUUUGAUGAAGCUGAGUGUAAUAAUUUAUUGUUCUUGAGUGAAGAUCACAAGAUUUUUUUUAACAUUUUUCUUUCUUUCAUGUGUAUAUAAAUGUGUUAUUUGUGAUGGUUUUUCCCACUUUAUGUGUCUGUGUUAUUAAUUCGUACUUGAUCUGCAACUAAUAAAUCCAUUUGUAUUGUUAAUCAUUGCCAUUGAUGAGUUGUACCAGUAGUGCUUAAAUUUUUUGCAUACCUCAAGCUGAAGCCUUUCUUAUUGGUUGUAAAAAAAAAAAAAGAAGUAAAAACAUUGUCACUGAUAGAUACUUUCACGUACGU
rnacentral:lncRNA from 1 species